ensembl:lncRNA
AACAACCUCCCUUUGCGAAAUUACAGAAAAGAAACGCAGCACUUUAACAACAAAAGCUUCUGGUCGGCGGACUGCAGCUCGCGGCGCCCGACCCGCGCUGUGACCCGCGCUGUAACCCGCGCUGUGACCCGCGCUGUGACCCGCGCUGUGACCCGCGCUGUGACCCGCGCUGCUUCCCCCCUCACAGCUCACGGCCACGCGCCCCGUAAAAGCACCUCACAGCCGCUCCUCAAACAAAGGGCCCGAGAGCGGGAGCGCUCCGUCGGACGCGGCCGGCUCUGCCCCCGGAGCUCGAGAACGCUUCACUCCGACGGCGCUUUUCGCUCCGCCGGACCCGAAGCUCCGGGGGCGGCGCGGCUGCGAACGACUCGAGCGCGGCCCCGGGACGGCCCGUCUGUCCCGGCUCUCAGCCCCAGCGCGCCGUGCUCCCGUGCAGCCGCCGCAUCGCAGCCGCCCGCCGUAACCCCACCGGCUCGGCUCGCGGCGCAGCUCCCCCCACCCCCCUCGCCGUGCCGGCUGCCCGCAGCUCCCGGCCGCCAGAAGUUAUUUACAUCACAAACCCGCACCUGGGUUUGGGUGGCGCGCGGAGCUCCGGCCGCCGUGCUGCUCCUCGCGGGGCCGCCCCGCUCAGCUCCGCGCACACACGGCACGGCUCGGCUCGGCUCGCUCUCCGGUUCAAACGCACGGCGCCGCCGCCCGGCCCCGCCCGCUCUCCGGCGCGGAGCUCAGGGCAAACCCGGAGCAGCCCCGGCCCGGAGCGGAGCGCCCUCCGGCCCCGCAGCGCAGCGCCGCCCGGCGAUCCAGCCCCGGUGUUGCGGCGGCCCCGAGCCCGCUCCCAUUCAACCUGCUCCAUUGUGCGCCCGCGGGGCCCCUCCUGCGGCCGCCCCCCCCUCCCGGAGCUCCGCGCGGCGGGCAGAGCCGCCUGGCCCCGCCGCCCCCGAGCGGCACCUGCCGCGGGGAGCGCCGCCCUCGGGGAACGGCAGCGCCUCAGGCGCUGCCCCGUCCGCAGCUGGGCUCCUUUGCGCUGCUCCUCACACGCGAACCACAGCGCUCCCGCGCAGCCACAGCUGUUUCCUUUCCUCGGCGGUUGAGGGGGAGGAGAUGCUCUGGUUUUGUUUUCACAGCUCAGCCCGGGCCGAUAAGGAAAAGAGCACCAACAACACCUGGUCGGAUCCAUGUUGUCACCGCGGCCGCACCAUUAACGAGGUCCGAACUCAGGGCCGUUCCUUUCCACAGCUCUCGGUCUCAGCCUUAAGGAGGAUCUCGGCGAUGAAUAUAGUUCACUCACAAAACAAAACGCAGUCUGUGCAGAAUUAUCUCGCGUUUAUUGCAGCUGUAUGCACACUGUCAGCGCUCCGUGUGGAAGAACUCCUUGUAGGCGUUCCUGGUGUUGUUUCUGGACGCCCUGCUGCUGGCUUGACAAGAAGCACACCUUGCGAGGAGCCAGGGAUAAACAUCUACUGCGUGUAUUCCUAUCUGAGGAACAGCUGCUUCCAGGAGCCACGGUUCUGCCCCGAAGUCAGCACAGGAAGAAUGGCAGAGCAGCCAGUCAGCAGGGCUUAGAUAAUGAAGCUUUUCAGACCGCAUGGCUCUCUUUGGUGCCUCACUGCCUAAGGAAUACACGCAGAGAAAAAAAUGCACGUUGUACUUCAGCCACAUAAUGAGGAGUGUGGGAGACGACACACAAAGCUCAGGUGUUCGGUGUAUAAAAAGCCACAAUGAACAUAAGAAAUUCGAUCUUUAUUCUGGGAAUAUUUACAAACACACACCUGGCGUACACUUCACACCGCUCUGAAAAACAAAAGUCCUUGGUGUGCUCUGGUCCCCUUUUCCCAAUUCCAAAAGGUUUAUGUCCAUCCGAUGGAGGUAUUUCUAGAACCAUCAGGAAAACGUCACUGCUGCUCACAGCUGUGGGGUACCCAGCAGGGGGAACAGGAUGCGUCACUUAGGAUCUGAGGAACAGCUCAGCUCAACACCACUUCCAUUCUUGUCCUGCCUAAUAUCACUACACUUCAGUCCCACACAGAUUAAAUGAGACAGCACUUUGUAGUUCUCAGGUUUUCUGUUCAAGACAAGGAACCCCGAGUUCUGGCACUUGUUAGCAUUAACUUACACUUUACACAAAGCACGUAACACAGAUAACUGCCCUGCUUCUAGUCCAGC